rnacentral:tRNA from 1 species
ACAUUGGUAAUGGUCGGGAUAGCUCAGCUGGDA